GAGCCCUUACCAUUUCCUGUGAACUAGGUGACACUUGCCUGGUGUGAGAUCCUGAGCCCUUACCAUUCCCUGUGAACUAGGUGACACUUGCCUGGUGUGAGAUCCUC